GAUGAACGCUGGCGGCGUGCCUAAUACAUGCAAGUCGAGCGAAUGGAUUAAGAGCUUGCUCUUAUGAAGUUAGCGGCGGACGGGUGAGUAACACGUGGGUAACCUGCCCAUAAGACUGGGAUAACUCCGGGAAACCGGGGCUAAUACCGGAUAACAUUUUGAACCGCAUGGUUCGAAAUUGAAAGGCGGCUUCGGCUGUCCCUUAUGGAUGGACCCCGGUCGCAUUAGCUAGUUGGUGAGGUAACGGCUCACCAAGGCAACGAUGCGUAGCCGACCUGAGAGGGUGAUCGGCCACACUGGGACUGAGACACGGCCCAGACUCCUACGGGAGGCAGCAGUAGGGAAUCUUCCGCAAUGGACGAAAGUCUGACGGAGCAACGCCGCGUGAGUGAUGAAGGCUUUCGGGUCGUAAAACUCCGUUGUUAGGGAAGAACAAGUGCUAGUUGAAUAAGCUGACACCUUGACGGUACCUAACCAGAAAGCCACGGCUAACUACGUGCCAGCCGCCGCGGUAA
rnacentral:rRNA from 1 species